UCUUUUGACAUUUUCUUGUGGUCCGAUACUUCAGCUUAGAAAGUGUCUACUUCAUUUCGUCUUUUCUGUGUCGUAUUCGAAUUCUGAAGGAAUAUUCUGUGUGCACAGUUCCUUUAUGUGUCUAGUAGAUAUUGUAUUACAGUAUUUAACAAAUGACU